rnacentral:rRNA from 1 species
AUUGAACGCUAGCGGCAGGCCUAACACAUGCAAGUCGAGCGACGGACGGCCGGGUGAGGAAUGUCUGGGAAACUUCCUGCUGGAGGGAGAUAACUGCUGGCAACGGUAGCAAAUACCGCGUACCAUCAGGUGAGCCCAGAUGGGAUUAGUUAGUAGGUUGGGUAAUGGCGAACCUAGGCGACGAUCCCUAGCUGGUCGGAGAGGAUGACCAGCCACACUGGAACUGAGACACGUCCCAGACUCCUAAGGGAGGCAGCAGUGGGGAAUAUUGCACAAUGGGCGAAAGCCUGAUGAAGGCAGGCCGCGUGGGUGAAGAAGGCGUUCGGGUUGUAAAGCACGUUCAGCGGGGAGGCGUUACCCGCAGAAGAAGCACCGGCUAACUCCGUGCCAGCAGCCGCGGUAAGAC